UACGUAGGGUGCGAGCGUUAAUCGGAAUUACUGGGCGUAAAGGGCUCGUAGGCGGCCAACUAAGUCAGACGUGAAAUCCCUCGGCUUAACCGGGGAACUGCAUCUGAUACUGGAUGGCUUGAGAUUGGGAGAGGGAUGCGGAAUUCCAGGUGUAGCGGUGAAAUGCGUAGAUAUCUGGAGGAAUACCGGUGGCGAAGGCGGCAUCCUGGACCAACACUGACGCUGAGGAGCGAAAGCCAGGGGAGCAAACGGG
rnacentral:rRNA from 1 species